CAAUCGCCCUUUAUUCCCCGCCCGGGGCUGGGCCCGGCUGCCAGCGGCUGCCGGCAAAGUCCCCCAGUCCCCGGGCCGAGAGAGAGAAGUUCCAGCCUGCCCAGCCCCCUCCCCGGCCCCCUCCCCACUCCCAUCCUCCCGCGCUCCCCGGGCGGGCUGCAGGGGGAUGACAAGGUUGGGGAGGCUCACGGGUAUCUCCUUCCCCCUCCCCCUUGCACCCGCACACCGACUAUCCGCCCGGAAUCUCCGGGCAGGAAUCUGCUCCGCCUAUGCACUCCGCCGGACGCCGCGGACUCCUGGGUCCGCUAGAAGGUCGCGGAAUCCAAAAAGGCCUGUGGCUUCCAUCGUCUCUCCCAGUCCAACCGUGGGCGGCCCUUCAGAGACGAUCCGGCCCGGUUUUUCGACUAGAACUUUUCGGCUGGCUUGGAGUUUGAAUUCAACUCCACUUCGUCUAUCCGCUUCCUCUUGAGCGUCAAAGCUCACCCUGGACCGGUGGGAUCCCCUGGUCUCUAAACCGUGAGAGUCCACAGCUUACUCUGGUGAGGCUGGGAGAGGGGUUGGGUGUUUUUCCUUCUCUUACAGAAAUGACGGACUUUCCUUUCUCCCCGGAGCUACGGGCAAGAGGAGAAGCAGCUGCAGGUCUGAAUCUCGCUUCCGCCGCGGGAAACGCACCUAUCAGACCUGGUCCCGGAGCGGAGUUAAACUGGACAUGGCGGGGACAGCCACUGGAGCAAGAACCGCACCUUCAGGUGUAUCCAGCGUCUUGCAUGGGAAGAAUUCAAAGCGUCCCAUGGAUAUUGUCACCUAUCUCUUCGGAUGGAUCCGGAUGGAUCCCUCAGGGAUGGGGAACGAUCACUCUCGGGUGGCUCUUGGUGUCUUCACUCCCUUAGAGCCUCAUCUCCCCAGCCCUUUUUCCUGCGACGUCCUUCUACCUCCUCCCGCUGUCUCCAGGACCCCGUCUCGGGAACCAGUCGCUGCUCCGUUUCCAAUCCCGGGCCGGGCCGGACCGGACCGGCUCCCUCCAAAAUCUCAGCGGAGAUCUGCCUAUGCCUAGAGUCGGAUCCCGGCCCUCCUAUCCGGCCUUGGUCAUCCCGACCUGGGCCGUUUUAGCUUCUACCGGGGAAGGGUCGUGGAGAGCUGAGGAAAGGACCUGCUUCGUUUAGCAAAAAGCAAAACCCCUCCGCUGAAAGGGUGAAGAAAGCGGGGGUGAGGGGAGGAUUAUCCUAAAUCACCCUGUUUACUCUCAACAAAUGCCCCCAACAAUUGUCGAAUCUUCACUUUGCUUCGCCCGUGUAGGCAGAGAAGCUUUCUGUAGCUUGAUGAACAAAAAAUUCGGUAGACCAUAAAAAAACCCCAACCCAGAGAUUGUACUCUAAAUUUAAACCCGGAGAAUAAAACCCACAAUUAGAGACUGGAA